rnacentral:tRNA from 1 species
GAAAAAUUAGUUAAUCAUAACACUACCUUGUCAAGGUAGAAUGAUGGGCUAACCCCCAUAUUUCUCU